AAGGCAUCUUUCCCACUCUCAACUCCUGGAAGUGUUCGAUUUGGACUCCUAAGACUGCAUUAUCCACCCAACAAAACCUGUCUGAGUCUUUCUCCCCUGGGUUACCUUAAUACCCUGGUUAAAAUCACAGAAAUAUAUACUCUGGUAUAAGGCAUCUUUCCCACUCUCAACUCCUGGAAGUGUUCGAUUUGGACUCCUAAGACUGCAUUAUCCACCCAACAAAACCUGUCUGAGUCUUUCUCCCCUGGGUUACCUUAAUACCCUGGUUAAAAUCACAGAAAUAUAUACUCUGGUAUAAGGCAUCUUUCCCACUCUCAACUCCUGGAAGUGUUCGAUUUGGACUCCUAAGACUGCAUUAUCCACCCAACA